rnacentral:lncRNA from 1 species
ACUCACUUCUUGGCCAUGACAUCAUAGACACAAUGACUGGAUGGUGGUUUCAGGACAGAGUCAGAGGGGCUUAGAGAAGAGGGGACCUUCCUGCUAGACACAGACUUGACACUCCCUCCCCUUUGGGGCCUGCUUCAAAUCACAGGACUCACAGAGCUGGAGGUUUAUCACCUGGUCUUUUUUACGAUCUCAUGAAUAAAGGGAAAAACCUAUCAGAUG